rnacentral:rRNA from 1 species
AACGAACGCUGGCGGCAUGCCUAACACAUGCAAGUCGAACGAGUACCUUCGGGUGCUAGUGGCGCACGGGUGAGUAACGCGUGGGAACCUGCCUUUCAGUACGGGAUAACGUUUGGAAACGAACGCUAAUACCGUAUAUGUCUUUGGAUGAAAGAUUUAUCGCCGGAAGAGGGGCCCGCGUCUGAUCAGGUAGUUGGUGAGGUAAUGGCUCACCAAGCCUUCGAUCAGUAGCUGGUCUGAGAGGAUGAUCAGCCACACUGGGACUGAGACACGGCCCAGACUCCUACGGGAGGCAACAGUGGGGAAUAUUGGACAAUGGGCGCAAGCCUGAUCCAGCAAUGCCGCGUGAGUGAUGAAGGCCUUCGGGUUGUAAAGCUCUUUUACCUGCGACGAUGAUGACGGUAGCAGGAGAAUAAGCCCCGGCUAACUUCGUGCCAGCCGCCGCAGUAAGAC